rnacentral:rRNA from 1 species
UACAGAGGUCUCAAGCGUUGUUCGGAUUCAUUGGGCGUAAAGGGUGCGUAGGCGGCGGGGUAAGUCAGGUGUGAAAUCUCGGGGCUCAACUCCGAAACUGCAUUUGAUACUGCGUUGCUAGAGUACUGGAGAGGAGAUUGGAAUUUACGGUGUAGCAGUGAAAUGCGUAGAUAUCGUAAGGAAGACCAGUGGCGAAGGCGGGUCUCUGGACAGUUCCUGACGCUGAGGCACAAAGGUCAGGGGAGCAAACGGG